rnacentral:lncRNA from 1 species
AUGGGGACACCGAAGAGGGGGACGGAUGGCAGCCUGGGUGGAGGGGAUAGCACAGCUAGCUGGGGCCCCCACCACCAGUCUCUUGGUGGCCGGGCAAGCAGCUGGCAGUGGGGCCAGCCAGCCGGCUCCUGCUUCUGCCACUCUCAGCCCUGGGCCGGGGCAUCUUCCGCAAAGAGUUAUAAUCCAACCCUACGGCAGGUCAGGGCCAGGCCAGCAGGGCCACAGGAACAGGGCAGCCGGCCAGAGGCUCAGCCUGGUGCUCCCCGGAGGGCAGGAGCGGGAAGUGGGACAGACCCUCGCGCCCCGACUUGUCCCGGGCACCUUGCCUGGGCACCUUGCCUGGGUCCCUCUCUGGGCCUCCACUCCGUCAUCAGGGCGUCAGCAGAGCUGGGAGCAGCAAGCGCUCAGGGCUCCAGGUUUGGGAGCCGCUUCACUGCCUUUCCCUCUGCCUCCUGCCAGGGGGGCCUCAGGGGGCCGAGUGCCACCUCUGCUGGUGCUGCUGGCCAUGGAGAGCUCUGGGAGGCCCUGGGCAGGAAGGCGGGACGAGUUCCCCGGGAGAUGCUCCUCUACCCGCCGCCCCGCUGGCCCCGCUGCCUGUCCAGGCUGCGGCCAGGCCUGCCCUGGGUGAUUGCAGAAGCCGUGCUGGCAGCCUACCCAGCUCCAGGCAGGUGGCCAGGCAGGCGGGCUGGGUGGCCACGGGGAUACUUGGAUCGUCGCCCUCCCAGGCCAGCGGGUAGUUUGUGCUGUUGUCCAGGGCCACAUCGGCCGCCAAAGGCUUUCUGUUGGGCUUUCCCCAGGACAGCAGCCUUGGAGCAUCCAUCUAGGGGGCCUUACCACCUGGUGGAGGGCACCGAGCUGGUAAGUCAGUCUGGAGGUGUGGGUUCUAGUAGCUUCUCUGUGUACACUUUGGACAAGAUGCCUCUGUUUUCUGGGUCUGUUUCUCUUCCCCAAAUGAGGCGGUUGGACUGUAUCAGUGGUUCUUACAGCAGGGGCCCUAGAAGAGUGGUGUCAACAACAUCUGGGAACUUGUUAGAAACACAAAUUCUCAGACCCCAUCCGAGACCUCCUGAGCCCAGCAGUCUGUGUUCUAACAACACUCCCUCCAGGGAACUCUGGUGCUGCUUCGUGUGA